AACGAACGCUGGCGGCAUGCCUAACACAUGCAAGUCGAACGAGACCUUCGGGUCCAGUGGCGCACGGGUGCGUAACGCGUGGGAACCUGCCCUUAGGUUCGGAAUAACUCCCCGAAAGGGGUGCUAAUACCGGAUAAUGUCUUCGGACCAAAGAUUUAUCGCCUUUGGAUGGGCCCGCGUUGGAUUAGCUAGUUGGUAGGGUAAAAGCCUACCAAGGCGACGAUCCAUAGCUGGUCUGAGAGGAUGAUCAGCCACACUGGGACUGAGACACGGCCCAGACUCCUACGGGAGGCAGCAGUGGGGAAUAUUGGACAAUGGGCGAAAGCCUGUUCCAGCAAUGCCGCGUGAGUGAUGAAGGCCUUAGGGUUGUAAAGCUCUUUUACCCGGGAUGAUAAUGACAGUACCGGGAGAAUAAGCUCCGGCUAACUCCGUG
rnacentral:rRNA from 1 species